rnacentral:tRNA from 1 species
AGUUAAUGAUCUUGAAUAAGAAUAUAUUUUGAAAAUAUAUUAUAGAAAUACUAAUUUUCUAUUAACUU